CGUUGCGAUUAAGACUCACCGUCACGAUUGAGCUCCCACCGUCGUCGUUGAGCUCCCACCGUCGCCGUUGAGCUAGCCGUCGCCGAUGAAGCUCAAACCAUCGCCGAGGAAGCUCCGUUAAGAGCCAACCGUCGCCGAUUAGGCUCAACGGCGACCCUUCGCAUUCCUUCGAACCGGCGACCAUUCGACUUCCCGGCGACGCUUCGCAUUCCUUUGAAUCGGCGACCCUUCGCCUUCCUUUGAAUCGGCGACCAUUCGACUUCCCGGCGACGCUUCGCAUUCCUUUGAACCGGCGACCAUUUGACUUCCCGGCGAACCUUUGCAUUCCUUUGAACCGGCGACCCUUCGCCUUCCUUCGAAUCGGCGACCGUUCGCCUUCACAGAACUCUCGUUUCCGAUUUCAUUUUCCAUUUCUGUCCCUCUGUGUUUUCCAAACACAAUCUCCGGCAGCUACAGCAUCAACGACAAUCAAUCUACGGACUCAUUUCGACGGCCAGAUUGUAACCCUAACGUUGACUAAGGUUUUGAAACUUUGCCUACGUCAUUGCCUAGUGUUCAUUGCGGGUCCAAGAACCAAAUAACAUUGCGAUUAUUGGCGCUUCUCUUCUGAGGACACGUUCUGCCGUUUUGGCAUUGAGAAGCUACUCAU